UACGUAGGGCGCAAGCGUUGUCCGGAAUUAUUGGGCGUAAAGGGCUCGUAGGCGGUUUGUCGCGUCUGCUGUGAAAACCUAAGGCUCAACCUUGGGCUUGCAGUGGGUACGGGCAGACUAGAGUGCGGUAGGGGUGACUGGAAUUCCUGGUGUAGCGGUGGAAUGCGCAGAUGUCAGGAGGAACACCGAUGGCGAAGGCAGGUCACUGGGCCGCAACUGACGCUGAGGAGCGAAAGCAUGGGGAGCGAACAGG
rnacentral:rRNA from 1 species